rnacentral:misc_RNA from 1 species
UUUUUUUUUUUUUUUUUAAAUUGCUCUUCUUAGAUAAUUUUAUAUUUGAACAAAUCACAUAAGGGAAAAUGAGGUGGCAUUGAUCUCUUCAUAUUUUUAAAUUGUGGUUGGAGAUUGUUGCAAUUGUAUUUUAAAAAAAAAUGCAAAAUGCAAUACACUAAAUAAAAACAUGGAAUCCAUGAUUUACAUUACGUAUUAUUAAUCAACUUAACUAGUACAAAAUAAAGUGGUGAAUACAGAUCUAACCUUAUCACUGCCAAAAAGUGUGUCCAAGACAAAGAGGAUGUUGAGUCUCUUGGCUUUGAGUUUGAGUGUUUUGACCUCAAAAUAUACUUCCCCUUGAUUUUUGCCUUGUUUCCAAGUAAAGACAAACUAAAAUUGCAUGUGGUGAGAGUUUCAAGCAAUGUGAAAUUGUAAACUGAAGAAACAGUGAAAAUGGUGGCUGGAAAAAUUGGGGGAGAUGGGAUUGUUGGGCCUGGCAGAAAAAGAAUCUGCCCUUCUGUAGAGUUAACAACUGUUAUGGCCUGCAUUUUACAUUUAACAGCCUUUACUGUUAUAUAAGCUGUUAACAUCCUUCAAAAUCCACCACGUAAUUGCUUUUAUCUUUAUGUAAAAUUAUGGUUCUCAUUGAUUAUUUUUUAAACAGUUGGCUUAAAGAAAAUUUAGUGAUUAUGCAUUCUGUAAUUUUAAGAUUGUAGGGCACCAAUUAGGAAUAAUAUGACAGUCGACACUGCCAUAGGGGAAAUUGUCACAUUUUGGGCUUAUCAGUAAAAAUCUCUGGUGUUGUUUCCAAAAUACAUAAGAUCUUGAUUUCAAUUUUUAUGUUUAUUUGAUUGUUACAAUGGUAGAUAUUUGUAGUUCUCCUAGCUUUCCUAAUCUCUUACAUUCUAAGUUGUGUGGAUAUUCUGGGAAUUUAGUGUUGAACUUUUAUAAUAUUGUUGGAGAAGAAAAUGAGGAAGUGCCAUGUGAUUUUAUUUUAAUGAUUAAGGGAGGAGGUUAGCAUUCACAAUAAACUAUGAUAGAAAGUUGAGAAAUUUUAUAUGUGUAGACUAUUUGUCAAUCAAUGUGAUCCUAGAGUUCAACUAAAAUUGUAUAGCCUAAUUUGGUAUAGUGGCUAAAGACAUAUCAUUCACCUAUUAGAGCCAGGUUUGAGGCUCCAUUUUCCCAAUCCUCCCUAAAAGAGUUCAACUAAAAUUCUGAAGUAUGACUUGCAAAUAUUUUGUCAGGUGUUUGUAGAAAUGAGGAUAUACUCUUAGCUAUUGAUAUGGCUGAUGAAAAUUAUGAUUGACAAGAUGAGCUACGUCUUGCACUGAAAUAAUGAUGUGGGAACUACAGCUUUUUUACACUUUGUUUAAAUAAUAUGGAAUACCAUUUUUUAUUUUUUUCAAGAUUUUCCACUAUAGUUUCUGGAUCAAAGUAACAAUUGGUUCCUAAAUUCUAUGUGAAGAUAAGUGUUGUAAGAGCACCUUCUCUGUUAUGUGUAGCUUUUGGUUAGAGUAUGUUCAAAUCAAAAUGCAUUUAAGGCAUAGAUAUUUAAGUUAUCCAGAUAAUAGUAAUAUGUAGAGCUGCCCAUUUGCAGUUAAAGUACAAGUGACAGCAUGUGCAUUACAGUUGAAAUGCUGGAAAUGUCUAUUUAAGAGUGUAUUCAAGGCGCGCAUGUAUACAACGAUACCUAGAUAAUAGUAAUACCUAGAAUUGUCCAUUUGUGGAAAUACAAGUGAUAGUGUAUGUAAUAUAGUGCAAAUGCUUGCCGCUUGUUUUUUGUUUUACUUCUUUGUUAUUUUAUUUAACUGUUAUUCUCUGUAUCAGAGAAGCCUGUAUAAUGCACGUGUAACAAGCUCAAAACUGCGUGAAUCUGUCAAGGCAAAGAGAAUAGAGUUACAGUGGUUGAGGCAAAAUUUGAAGCUAAUU